CCACCUCUGUACGCUUCAUUCUUUCUGUUUCUUCUUCUUCCUCAAACUGUAAUCCUCAUCUCCUUGACUUGGCUUACCGAUGAUCGGACUUUUGAAAUACCGGCCGAAACCGACCGUUAAAAUCGGUAAACCAACUUCCGGUAACCGAAAGGUCCGGCACGGUUACGGCUACGAAUUUGGCGAAACCGAAGGCUUUCGGUACGGUAGCGGUUGAAGCCAAAAAAUCCGGCAACCGUACCAGGGCCAGCCCUAGUAGAGACGUAUACUAGUUCGUGA
rnacentral:lncRNA from 1 species